GAUUCUUUUCCACAAAUUCUCUCUCUCCUUAUCGGAAGACGCUCUCUCCUAGCUAGUAAUAAAGGGUAAAGAAAAAGACUGCACGAAAAACAUUGAGAGAAGCUUAUAAGGUUAUACUAUAUAUUUAUCUUUCUGACCUAUCUUUCCUUAACCUUUCAACGCCAAAGCAAUCAUAAUGUCCUCUGAAUCAUCACCACCACCGAGACCAAAACCUCACCGCCGUCAUCAUUAUUUCCACCACCAAACAUCAUCAUUAUCAUCACCACCACUUUCUUGUUCGAGCACUAACAUCAGUAGUCGUCAGAAAAAACGUGGACAUCUUCUUUUUCUUCUUGAGGAUGAUGAUGACGAAGAAGAAGAUGAAGAAAUAAAGAGUACUGUUUUUAUUAAUUUUGACUAGCUCUAGCUUCUCAAGACAUUGAAAUGAAUGACUCUUCAAAAGUCACUUUUUUUCUUUGUGGGGGAAUCAAGCUUCGUGGUCCGAUCCGAUCCUUUAAUUUGCUAUUUCAAGCAAAGCACUCUCUUUAGUUUCAUUUCUACAACUAGGGUAUUAUUCUCUUUUCUAGCUUCUCAAAGUUAUAUAGAACCUGCCUACUCUAGAUUGAUCGAUCUUUUGGAUAACUGGUCAAGGAUUAUUGCUGGUUACUUUUGCUACUUCAAGAAAAGAAAGAAUACGGUUUUAUCAACUGCUGCAGCUCGGUUUGUAUUUAUUUGUAGUUUUUUUUUUUUAAUUGAAGUUUUUAGGUGUGGUACGUGUUGGUGCAUCUCAAUUAAAUGGAUCUGUUUUAUCCUAAUUGUAUCUCUUAACAACGUAUAGUUUCGGAUCCUUUGAAUGGUAUACUUUCUAAUGCUUUCGAUCUACUAUUGAGGCAGAGAUUCUAGCAUAGAUCUUCAAAAUAUUAUCAUGAGAAAUGAAGGUAUUAUCAAAUCUUACCUUCUUGUGAAAUUAGGGUUUGAUGAGCAGUAAUGGCACAAUCUCAUCACUAAUUUAGUUGAUUAAAGGUUGGUAGAAAAUUUUUUAGCUGCUACUGGAUACGUGUUACUCCUGUAUGAUUGCAUUUGCUUAGAGACAAAUUAAAAUAUAGGUGUGUAUAUAUAUAAGAGCAAUUACGCAUGCAUCCUUUGCAUCAUGAUAUUCUUGUACUUGUAAAAGAGUUUUUGGUUACUAGUCUUAUUUUAUUAGUAGUCGUGAUUGGUCUUAAGUAUCAAGGGACAAUAACAUAUUGGGUCUUAGUUUCCAUGAUAUAGAAGAACUGAAGAAGAAAUGAUCAGUUGGGGGUAUAUAUUGUUAGUAAUUAUUGGUGUAUUAGCGAACAUAGUGUACAUCCUUGGAAGUAAUGAUCAUGAGCUUGGCAGUAAUAUUAUUCUUGGACUUGCCAACAGCUAAUUAGUUGAGAUGGAAUGCCAAAUUAAAGGCAAAACAACAGAUCUGAACUUUCAGGUCUAGAGUUUUGCUUUACGUGUGGUUCACUUGGAUUGUUGAGGAUCAUAAUGAAAUUAAAAUAGUAAUAUAUGCAUAUGGAGUGCUAGUUUAAGUUAAUAUAAAAUUGUUGGAGGGAUUAGGGGUAUAAGUAGAGUAGUGUAUAUACUUAUGUUUACAUCAUUAUUUGUGUUCGGUGUUUACAUCAAAUAAUCGUAUGUUUAAAUGAUGUGAUAUACUGUAUAGUAAUGCUAGUAAUUAAUCAUGACUAAGUGAUGGUAAAAAUCUAGCACAUACCACUGGCGUACUGCUUUAAUUUCACGAGUGUAUCAGUACUCACUGGCUUACUGCUUUCGAGCAUCAAAUAAUCCAGUACACUGAGAAAGAAGCAUUCCUUACUUUUUUCGAUGUGGACGAAUUUCGUUCUCAUGUAUGCAAGUGUUUUCUAGUCUCUGAUUUCUCUGUCUUUUUUCUAAAAAGUUGAUGCCAUUAAAUUCAUAAAGUUUUGCCUUUUCUGAUACUGGAGAGUACCAAGCUUAAGUCCUUUGAUUUACAGUAUCCCUGGCUUCCUUUCUCUACUUCGUUCCCUUUUACAAGAUGCAAGUCCUUGUUAGCGCAUAUGCAUGACAAAUGAUCAGUAAAGUAUGUAGUCAAGAACAUUGGGCGGCGGAUCGGAUUCAAGACUUAUUAACUUGUUGAUUGAACCUUUAAAGUUUUUACACUAAAUUCAUUGUACUUUAUGGGGUUUAGAAUUUAGUAUCUGUGUGAAAUUUAGUGUUUCAGCCAUACAUAUCUAUGUUAUAUUGAGGUCGUAGUUGAUGAAUGUGAACCUUAAUUUGUCAGUUAGCAUGCAUGCAGCUGUGAAGGCUUCCAUUGUUUUUCCUCAAGAGUGUCCUCGAGUGAUGAAUUAAGUUUGUUCUAGUAAUAGAGCUAACUGAUUUUGAUCUUGUAGUGGGGAGGAAGCAAAUUUCCAAUUUGAUAUGUCCAUCCCUCAAAUGGUUCAUAUAUGGGUGGAAAACAAACUGAUAGUUGUAGCUGAAGAGGAAAUUAAUAAGCAUGCCAAGGAAGCUGCUUAGAAAGUUGCUCACAAGGUUUUAAGUGCUUCAGAUGCAACUCCACAUGCAUGUUUCUUUAGUUUGAUUUCUAUGCAACUGCGCAUGCGCUGAAAAAAUAAUAUUUAUACAAUUAUCAAAUCA